rnacentral:rRNA from 1 species
AUUGAACGCUGGCGGCAGGCCUAACACAUGCAAGUCGAGCGGAGCGGCGGACGGGUGAGUAAUGCCUAGGAAUCUGCCUGGUAGCGGGGGAUAACGUCCGGAAACGGGCGCUAAUACAGCAUACUAUCAGAUGAGCCUAGGGCGGAUUAGCUAGUUGGUGGGGUAAAGGCCUACCAAGGCGACGGUCCGUAACUGGUCUGAGAGGAUGAUCAGGCACACUGGAACUGAGACACGGUCCAGACUCCUACGGGAGGCAGAAGUGGGGAAUAUUGGACAAUGGGCGAAAGCCUGAUCCAGCCAUGCCGCGUGUGUGAAGAAGGUCUUAGGAUUGUAAAGCACUUUAAGUUGGGAGGCGUUACCAACAGAAUAAGCACCGGCUAACUUCGUGCCAGCAGCCGCGGUAAUAC